GGUCUGUAGUGGCAAGUCAUAGUACAUUGUAAACACACCACACUGUGAUUUACAGCUAGUGCUACCCGGCAGAAGUUUGGACUCACUUCAAGCGUAUAGGAAAGUUGGAUGCUGAUUUCACAGCAUCCUAUAGAGAGUCUUGUGUCAACUAGCAAACGUUGAGAGAAGUAUUAAACAAAAAGGAGUACAAUUUUCAAAAGGUAAGGCUAUUAGUAUUAGAUAUAUUUGGUUUUCAGAUAAUUUAAUCUUAUCACAUAUCCUUUCCUUUCUUUUUUAGAAGACCUUUUUAAAAAUUUUUUGGUACCAAGGAUUGAACCCAGGGGUACUUAAUC